GGUAAAUCUGUGGAUGAGUGUACAUACACAUACACAUGUGUAUGGGGGGUACAUCCUGAGGCUAGAAGACAGGGUUUUGUUUCCCACCUUCCAUUUCUUAGAAUUGUCCACCUUGCUUUAUCAAGAGAUCAUCUUGCCAGACUGAAACUCCACAAGAACUCUGAGUAUCCGACCUAUAAUAUGCAGUGAUCUAUUUCUCUCCAUCUCCCCAGUACUGAGAUUACAAGCAUGUGCUACUGUGCCUAGCUUCUUUUUGUUUUUCCCCUGCAGGUUCUGGAGACUAAGGACGAUGCAAGCACCUCACCAGCUGGUCUAGAUUUCCAGGGCCAUUCUGCACACUUUCAAAACUUCCUGCGGUGCUGCAUAGACUGUGCACAUGAGAACAUUCUUAGGGUUGAGAACAUCUCCUUGGAAUGCAAUCUGUUUUGAUAGCAUGUGGAGACUGAUUUGAUAACUCACAGCAGCACACAUGAAUGUUUCAUUCAUUUUUCAUGGGGACAGUAACUUUUUUGGCUUACACAAUGCCCGGCUGCAAAGAGCAGGCCACAUCCAUCAGAGUGACAUACUGCAGAGCAAUGUGUUGCUUGGCACUGGAAGCAUGAAGAUCCGCCCUGUCCUAGAUGCACAGAGCACAUCAAAUAUGGAAGCAAAUGUUACUUGUGAUAGCUGUGAGAAUGUCCUUAGGGGUCU
rnacentral:lncRNA from 1 species